UACAGAGGUCCCAAGCGUUGUUCGGAUUCACUGGGCGUAAAGGGUGCGUAGGUGGUGAGGUAAGUCGGAUGUGAAAUCUCGGAGCUCAACUCCGAAAUGGCAUUGGAAACUACCUUGCUCGAGGGAUGGAGGGGGGACUGGAAUUCUCGGUGUAGCAGUGAAAUGCGUAGAUAUCAGGAGGAACACCAAUGGCGAAGGCAGCUCGCUGGGACGGUACUGACGCUGAGACGCGAAAGCGUGGGGAGCAAACAGG
rnacentral:rRNA from 1 species